GCUGUAGCUCAAUGGCAGGGCAUGUGUUCUGCAUACUGAAGGCCCCAGGUUCAAUUCCUGGUGUCUGCA